CACGUAGGGUGCGAGCGUUGUCCGGAAUUACUGGGCGUAAAGAGCUCGUAGGUGGUUUGUCGCGUUGUCCGUGAAAACUCACAGCUCAACUGUGGGCGUGCGGGCGAUACGGGCAGACUGGAGUACUGCAGGGGAGACUGGAAUUCCUGGUGUAGCGGUGGAAUGCGCAGAUAUCAGGAGGAACACCGGUGGCGAAGGCGGGUCUCUGGGCAGUAACUGACGCUGAGGAGCGAAAGCGUGGGGAGCGAACAGG
rnacentral:rRNA from 1 species